rnacentral:rRNA from 1 species
GACGAACGCUGGCGGCGUGGAUUAGGCAUGCAAGUCGGACGGUAGGGCUUUAUCGUAAGAUAGAGUUUGAGAGUGGCGAACGGGUGAGUAACACGUAGGAAUCUACCCUUAAGACGGGGACAACCCAGGGAAACUUGGGCUAAUACCGGAUGAGAGUGCGAGAGAUUGCAUUUAAAAGGAUGGCGAAAGUUAUCGCUUAGGGAUGAGCCUGCGGUCUAUUAGUUAGUUGGUGGGGUAAGAGCUCACCAAGGCGAUGAUAGAUAGGCGGCCUUAACGGGUGGUCGCCCACACUGGGAUUGAGAUACGGCCCAGACUCCUACGGGAGGCAGCAGUUGGGAAUCUUAGGCAAUGGACGAAAGUCUGACCUAGCGACGCCGCGUGAGGGAAGAAGGCCUUCGGGUUGUAACCUCUGUCAUGGGGAAGAAGGAAGUGACGGUACCCAAGAGGAAGCCCUGCUAACUACGUG